GUUGAACGCUGGCGGCAGGCCUAACACAUGCAAGUCGAACGAGUAGCGGACGGGUGAGUAGUGUCGGGGAAACUGCCUGAUGGAGGGAGAUCAGUACGGGAAACGGUAGCUACUAACGCAUACCAUACGUUCUGCCCUGAUGGGAUUCGCUUGUUGGUGGGGUAACGGCUCACCAAGGCGACGAUCCCUAGCUGGGCCGAGAGGAUUAACAGCCACACUGGAACUGAGACACGGUCCAGAUUCCUACGGGAGGCAGCAGUGGGGAAUAUUGCACAAUGGGCGAAAGCCUGAGGCAGCCAGGCCGCGUGUAUGAAGAAGGCCUUCGGGUGGUAAAGUACUUUCAGUGGGGAGGCGUUACCCGCAGAAGAAGCACCGGCUAACUCCGUGCCAGCAGCCGCGGUAAUAC
rnacentral:rRNA from 1 species